rnacentral:rRNA from 1 species
AGAGUUUGAUCCUGGCUCAGGACGAACGCUGGCGGCGUGCUUAACACAUGCAAGUCGAACGGAAAGGCCCAGCUUGCUGGGUACUCGAGUGGCGAACGGGUGAGUAACACGUGGGUGAUCUGCCCUGCACUCUGGGAUAAGCCUGGGAAACUGGGUCUAAUACCGGAUAUGACCAACUGUCGCAUGGUGGUUGGUGGAAAGCUUUUGCGGUGUGGGAUGGGCCCGCGGCCUAUCAGCUUGUUGGUGGGGUAAUGGCCUACCAAGGCGACGACGGGUAGCCGACCUGAGAGGGUGAUCGGCCACACUGGGACUGAGACACGGCCCAGACUCCUACGGGAGGCAGCAGUGGGGAAUAUUGCACAAUGGGCGCAAGCCUGAUGCAGCGACGCCGCGUGAGGGAUGACGGCCUUCGGGUUGUAAACCUCUUUCACCAGGGACGAAGCGGAAGUGACGGUACCUGGAGAAGAAGCACCGGCCAACUACGUGCCAGCAGCCGCGGUAAUACGUAGGGUGCGAGCGUUGUCCGGAAUUACUGGGCGUAAAGAGCUCGUAGGCGGUUUGUCGCGUCGUCUGUGAAAUUCUGCAACUCAAUUGCAGGCGUGCAGGCGAUACGGGCAGACUUGAGUACUACAGGGGAGACUGGAAUUCCUGGUGUAGCGGUGAAAUGCGCAGAUAUCAGGAGGAACACCGGUGGCGAAGGCGGGUCUCUGGGUAGUAACUGACGCUGAGGAGCGAAAGCGUGGGUAGCGAACAGGAUUAGAUACCCUGGUAGUCCACGCCGUAAACGGUGGGUACUAGGUGUGGGUUCCUUUUCACGGGAUCCGUGCCGUAGCUAACGCAUUAAGUACCCCGCCUGGGGAGUACGGCCGCAA